rnacentral:misc_RNA from 1 species
GCCGAUUCCUCUGCCCUAAAACUUCUAUUCAUACUUCAAAAAAAACUAAAAACCCCUAAUCCAUUAACUCACCAGAAAUUCUCCAUUUCUUCUGCAAAUUUCAUCAAACAAAAACAGCAUUUCACACUCAUCAUCUACACAUCCUCAUGAACUACUUCAACAAGCUCAAUAAUGCUAAAACCCAGAUGUAACAAAAAUUACUUGAAAAAAAUCACAGAAAAUUCUACAAAAAGCUUAACGAAACCGCAAUUUGCAGAGACAAAAACACGGUAGGUAAAAAAUUAGAGAGAGAAAUCAA